UACGUAGGGACCGAGCGUUGUCCGGAAUCAUUGGGCGUAAAGAGCGUGUAGGCGGCUAUUUAAGUCCUGCGUGAAAUCCUGCGGCUCAACCGCAGACGGUCGUGGGAAACUGGAUGGCUAGAGUGCGGGAGAGGAGAGUGGAAUUCCCAGUGUAGAGGUGAAAUUCGUAGAUAUUGGGAAGAACACCGGUGGCGAAGGCGGCUCUCUGGACCGAUACUGACGCUGAGGCGCGAAAGCGUGGGGAGCAAACAGG
rnacentral:rRNA from 1 species